rnacentral:lncRNA from 1 species
GCUCAGAUCAGUAUAACAGGCUUUUAAGUCAUGAAUUUUCAGAAGCGCGAUGACGUCGAGGUAAGGCAGCGGCACAUGGUGCUCCUAGUGCCACCGCGCUUGAUGCACCGAAACACUAACACACUAGCGAGGCCGGCAAGAAGACAACGGCAAGGAGAUGGUGCGUGGUGUUUAGGAAAACUGGUUCCUUAAUCAUUCCUUACUGUUUACAACGAUUAUAUACCGCCUGGACAGACGCGGCGCUAUGUGAAGAGACGACGGUUCCAGGACGAGCGGGAG